AUGAAUGAUUUUCUACUGGCCCCUUACUCGGCUGAUGAUGUGAGGAGGGCCGUGUUUAGCAUCGGUGACCUCAAGGCUCCAGGCCCGGAUGGCCUUCACGCCAUAUUUUUCAAAAAAUAUUUGCACAUUUUGGGUGAUGAUAUUACACAGGAAGUCCUACUAGCUAUUAAUUCAAGGAAGAUCCCUUCUGAAUGGAAUGAGACAACGAUUGUUAUGAUCCCGAAGAUUGACACUCCGAAGCUGGUAACUCAAUUUCGGCUAAUUAGUCUUUGCAAUGUUUUAUAUAAAAUUGUGUCCAAGAUGUUAGCUCUCCGUCUGAAAAGUAUUCUUCCUGAAAUUAUUUCACCAACUCAGAGUGCCUUUGUCCCCGGGAGGAUGAUCACUGACAACAUUUUAAUAUCUUAUGAAUGUAUUCAUAAGAUCAAGAAUAAAAGAGCUGGCCAAACAGGUUUAUGUGCAGUAAAAUUGGACAUGCAUAAAGCUUAUGACAGGGUGGAGUGGUCUUUUCUUCGUGAUAUGAUGGCUGCCUUGGGGUUUCAUGACCACUUUAUUGAGAUGAUGAUGUCCUGUGUAAACUCGGUCAGUUACAAAGUGAGGUUUAACUCACAUGACACCGAUUCUUUUAUCCCUACGAGGGGUGUCAGACAGGGGGAUCCCCUCUCCCCAUACUUAUUCCUAUUGUGUGCAGAAGGACUUUCUAGUCUAUUGCAGUUUGAAGAAGAAGCUGGUGGCAUUGAGGGAGUUAGAGUGUUCAGAAAUGCACCAUCAGUAUCACACCUUUUAUUUGUUGAUGAUUCUCUGAUUCUCAUGAAAGCAGAUGUUUUAAAUGCAGCUUCCUUACAGCAUGUUCUAGAUACCUACUGUCAGAGUUCGGGACAAUUGGUGAGUCUAUCAAAAUCUAGUGUAUUUUUUAGUCCAAAUACCCCUGUGGUCACAAAGACUGAGAUCUGCCAACGGUUGAAUAUCGACACUGAAGCUCUGUCUGAUAAAUAUCUUGGCCUGCCUGCAAUGGUGGGAGCAGAUAGGAGUGACUGUUUUAGACACUUUUGUGAAAGAAUUAAAGAAGGGUUGAAAGGAUGGAUGGAGAAACAACUAUCUACGGUCCGGUCGGCAUAUCGCAUUCAAUGGAUUCAAACUUACCGUGCACAGGCAAAUCUAUUGGCACGUCCUUCUGGUUCUAAUGCACCAGAAAUAUGGAGUGAAGUUUGGAAAUUGCAGGUUCCACGUAAGAUACAGAUUUUCUGCUGUCGGACCCUUCCUGGAAUUAUCCCCUUGAAAUCAAUUCUCACAAACAGACAUGUAGGCUCAAAUAGCUCUUGUCCAAUCUGUCAUCAGACUGCUGAAGAUGUGCGCCAUCUACUGUUUGACUGUACACAUGCUCAAGAUUUAUGGCAUAGAUUGGGAAUUCUUGAUAUUAUUGAAGAAGCAAAGAAAAUUGACCGUUCGGGCUCGAUCAUCUUAGAAUAUCUUCUGUUGGCGGAGGCCAGGUCGCUACCUCUGAAACCUUGCCUUGAUGUUAAACAGGUCCUAGCUGUUGGAUCCUGGUACUUGUGGUGGGUUCGGCGAGAGCUCACUCACGGUGGAUCACCACCUCUAAGAGAUGGCCACUAUCUGUCUUAG
rnacentral:rRNA from 1 species